CUUGGUCAUUUAGAGGAAGUAAAAGUCGUAACAAGGUUUCCGUAGGUGAACCUGCGGAAGGAUCAUUAACGAAACUUCAAAGUCGGCUUGUUCUGUUCUGUGCUGGUGGGAGACCACAUUGUGCACGUCGGAUCAAGUCGCAAAUCCACACACACCUGUGCAUCUUAUGACUCUGAGUACCGCUUUGCGUGGCCCCUCACCGGGCCUGGUAUUCGAGUAACUUUUACACACUCUGAAUGUAAUGGAAUGUCUAUUGUGCAUAAUGUACAACUAAAAACAACUUUCAACAACGGAUCUCUUGGCUCUCGCAUCGAUGAAGAACGCAGCGAAAUGCGAUAAGUAAUGUGAAUUGCAGAAUUUAGUGAAUCAUCGAAUCUUUGAACGCACCUUGCACCCUUUGGUAUUCCGAAGGGUACACCCGUUUGAGUGUCAUUGUAAUCUCACCUCUUCGACUUUUUAUGGUUGACCUGUGUGGACUUGGAUGUUGCCGUGUAACAAACGGCUCAUCUGAAAUGCCUGAGUGUACCCUGCUUUGCAGCGUAUUCGGUGUGAUAAAUCUUCACCGGAGUUUCGACUUUUUGGUCGGCGCUUGUAUUGUUUUGGCUCUAUGCUUCGAACCGUCCCUAACAAGGACAAUAACUCUGACAAUUUGACCUCAAAUCGGGUGGGACUACCCGCUGAACUUAAGCAUAUCAAUAAGCGGAGGAAAAGAAACUAACAAGGAUUCCCCUAGUAACGGCGAGUGAAGAGGGAAAAGCUCAAAUUUUGAAUCUGGUGUCUUUGGCGCCCGAGUUGUAAUCUAGAGAAGUGUUUUCCGCUUUGGACCGUGUACAAGUUCCCUGGAACGGGGCGUCAUAGAGGGUGAGAAUCCCGUAUAUGGCACGGACUACCAAUGCUCUGUGAUACACUCUCAACGAGUCGAGUUGUUUGGGAAUGCAGCUCAAAAUGGGUGGUAAAUUCCAUCUAAAGCUAAAUAUUGGCGAGAGACCGAUAGCGAACAAGUACCGUGAGGGAAAGAUGAAAAGCACUUUGGAAAGAGAGUGAAACAGUACGUGAAAUUGUUGAAAGGGAAGCGUUUGAAGUCAGUCAUAUCUGGCGGGAUUCAUCCUGGCUUUUGCCUGGUGUACUUUCCGUCCGAUGGGUCAGCAUCAAUUUUGACCGAGGGAAAAAGACGUUCGGAAUGUGGCUGUCUUUGGGCAGUGUUAUAGCCUUGCGUUGUAUGUCUCGGUUGGGAUUGAGGAAUGCAGCGCGCCUAUAGGCCGGGGGCUCGCUCCUCUCGACACGUGCUUAGGAUGCUGGCAUAAUGGCUUUAAGCGACCCGUCUUGAAACACGGACC
rnacentral:rRNA from 1 species